rfam:Cavia porcellus supercont2_2 genomic scaffold, whole genome shotgun sequence.
CUCAGAUAUGGAGACAUGGUGCCUAAACAAUUGCAGGAAAGAUCUUUGGCUCCAUCUGUUCCCUGAGUGGCGUCCUGGUCAUUGCCCUGCCAGUCCCUGUGAUUGUUUCCAAC